GCGCACUGCUCAGUAACACGUGGACAACCUGCCCUGAGGACUGGAAUAAUCCCGGGAAACUGGGGGUAAUUCCAGAUACGUCAGAACUCCUGGAAUGGGUUCUGGCAGAAAGGCUCCGGCGCCUCAGGAUGGGUCUGCGGCCUAUCAGGGUAGUAGUGGGUGUAACGUACCUACUAGCCUACGACGGGUACGGGUUGUGAGAGCAAGAGCCCGGAGAUGGAUUCUGAGACAUGAAUCCAGGCCCUACGGGGUGCAGCAGGCGCGAAAACUUUACAAUGCGGGCAACCGCGAUAAGGGGACCUCGAGUGCUGGGUUACAAACCUGGCUGUUGGGCUGCCUAAAAAGCAGUCUAUAGCAAGGGCCGGGCAAGACCGGUGCCAGCCGCCGCGGUAACACCGGCGGCUCGAGUGGUAACCGCUAUUAUUGGGUCUAAAGGGUCUGUAGCCGGCCGACUAAGUCUCUUGGGAAAUCUGGCAUCUCAAGUGUCAGGCUGCCAGGGGAUACUGGUCGGCUUGGGACCGGGAGAGGUGAGAGGUACCUCGGGGGUAGGGGUGAAAUCUUGUAAUCCUCGAGGGACCACCAGUGGCGAAGGCGUCUCAC
rnacentral:rRNA from 1 species